rnacentral:rRNA from 1 species
AGCUAGUAGGUGGGGUAACGGCUCACCUAGGCGACGAUCCCUAGCUGGUCUGAGAGGAUGACCAGCCACACUGGAACUGAGACACGGUCCAGACUCCUACGGGAGGCAGCAGUGGGGAAUAUUGCACAAUAGGGCGCAAGCCUGAUGCAGCCAUGCCGCGUGUAUGAAGAAGGCCUUCGGGUUGUAAAGUACUUUCAGCGGAGAUGAAGGUGUUGAGGUUAAUAACCUCAGCAAUUGACGUUACCCGCAGAAGAAGCACCGGCUAACUCCGUGCCAGCAGCCGCGGUAAUACGGAGGGUGCCAAGCGUUAAUCGGAAUUACUGGGCGUAAAGCGCACGCAGGCGGUCUGUCAAGUCGGAUGUGAAAUCCCCGGGCUCAACCUGGGAACUGCAUUCGAAACUGGCAGGCUAGAGUCUUGUAGAGGGGGGUAGAAUUCCAGGUGUAGCGGUGAAAUGCGUAGAGAUCUGGAGGAAUACCGGUGGCGAAGGCGGCCCCCUGGACAAAGACUGACGCUCAGGUGCGAAAGCGUGGGGAGCAAACAGGAUUAGAUACCCUGGUAGUCCACGCCGUAAACGAUGUCGACUUGGAGGUUGUGCCCUUGAGGCGUGGCUUCCGGAGCUAACGCGUUAAGUCGACCGCCUGGGGAGUACGGCCGCAAGGUUAAAACUCAAAUGAAUUGACGGGGGCCCGCACAAGCGGUGGAGCAUGUGGUUUAAUUCGAUGCAACGCGAAGACCUUUACCUACUCUUGACAUCCAGAGAACAUUCCAGAGAUGGGAUUGGUGCCUUCCUGAACUCUGAGACAGGUGCUGCAUGGCUGUCGUCAGCUCGUGUUGUGAAAUGUUGGGUUAAGUCCCGCACCGAGCGCAAUCCUAAUCCUUUGUUGCCAGCGAUCCUUCCGGGAACUCAAAGAAGACUGCCAGUGAUAAACUGGAGGAAGGUGGGGAUGACGUCAAGUCAUCAUGGCCCUUACGAGUAGGGCUACACACGUGCUACAAUGGCGCAUACAAAGAGAAGCGACCUCGCGAGAGCAAGCGGACCUCAUAAAGUGCGUCGUAGUCCGGAUUGGAGUCUGCAACUCGACUCCAUGAAGUCGGAAUCGCUAGUAAUCGUAGAUCAGA